AUCAUUAUUACAGGUACAGUUGGUGACUUGUUGGUGACUUGUGAUCCUGUUGGUGACUUGGUUCUUCAGAUAUGGGUCUCAGAUGACUUUAGGUCUCAGAUGAUUUCAUGGUUCCGAGUUCAAGCCGAAGCUUUGAUCCUGUGCUCCGAGAUACACAGCCAGCCAGUCUUGUCUGCAUCAUUUGCAUCAUAGCAUGUUUAUUUUCAAAAAAAAAAUGCAAAAAAAGAAAUGAAAAAAUUGAAAAAAAAAGAUGAGAAGAAAAAAGCUAAUCUCUG
rnacentral:lncRNA from 1 species